UACGGAGGGGGCUAGCGUUGUUCGGAAUUACUGGGCGUAAAGCGCACGUAGGCGGCUUUGUAAGUUAGAGGUGAAAGCCCGGAGCUCAACUCCGGAACUGCCUUUAAGACUGCAUCGCUUGAAUCAUGGAGAGGUCAGUGGAAUUCCGAGUGUAGAGGUGAAAUUCGUAGAUAUUCGGAAGAACACCAGUGGCGAAGGCGGCUCACUGGACCGGUAUUGACGCUGAGGUGCGAAAGCGUGGGGAGCAAACAGG
rnacentral:rRNA from 1 species